AGCAGCCGCGGUAAUUCCAGCUCCAAUAGCGUAUAUUAAAGUUGUUGCAGUUAAAAAGCUCGUAGUUGAAUUUCGGGAUCAAUAUUUCGGUCAUGCCGUUGGUAUGCACUGUUAUCAUUGAUUUCUCACCUUCUAAAGAACCGUAAUGCCAUUAAUUUGGUGUUACGGGGAAUUAGGACUGUUACCUUGAAAAAAUUAGAGUGUUUAAAGCAGGCUCACGCUUGAAUACAUUAGCAUGGAAUAAUGAAAUAGGACAUCCGAUUCUAUUUUGUUGGUUUCUAGGAUCGAUGUAAUGAUUAAUAGGGAUAGUUGGGGGCAUUAGUAUUCAAUUGUCAGAGGUGAAAUUCUUGGAUUUAUUGAAGACUAACUACUGCGAAAGCAUUUGCCAAGGAUGUUUUCAUUAAUCAAGAGCGAAAGUUAGGGGGAUCGAAGACGAUCAGAUACCGUCGUAGUCUUAACCAUAAACUAUGCCGACUAGGGAUC
rnacentral:rRNA from 1 species